GUGGGGAAUAUUGGACAAUGGGGGGAACCCUGAUCCAGCCAUGCCGCGUGUGUGAAGAAGGCCUUUUGGUUGUAAAGCACUUUAAGCGAGGAGGAGGCUACCGAGAUUAAUACUCUUGGAUAGUGGACGUUACUCGCAGAAUAAGCACCGGCUAACUCUGUGCCAGCAGCCGCGGUAAUACAGAGGGUGCAAGCGUUAAUCGGAUUUACUGAGCGUAAAGCGCGCGUAGGUGGCCAAUUAAGUCAAAUGUGAAAUCCCCGAGCUUAACUUGGGAAUUGCAUUCGAUACUGGUUGGCUAGAGUAUGGGAGAGGAUGGUAGAAUUCCAGGUGUAGCGGUGAAAUGCGUAGAGAUCUGGAGGAAUACCGAUGGCGAAGGCAGCCAUCUGGCCUAAUACUGACACUGAGGUGCGAAAGCGUGGGGAGCAAACAGGAUUAGAAACCCUUGUAGUCC
rnacentral:rRNA from 1 species